AUUGAACGCUGGCGGCAGGCCUAACACAUGCAAGUCGAGCGAGUGGCGGACGGGUGAGUAAUGUAUGGGGAUCUGCCCGAUGGAGGGGGAUAACUCCUGGAAACGGUCGCUAAUACCGCAUACUAUCGUAUGACCCCAUAUGUGAUUAGCUAGUUGGUGGGGUAAAGGCGCACCUAGUCGACGAUCUCUAGCUGGUCUGAGAGGAUGAGCAGCAAAACUGGGACUGAGACACGGCCCAGACUCCUACGGGAGGCAGCAGGGGGGAAUAUUGCACAAUGGGGGCAAGCCUGAUGCAGCCAUGCCGCGUGUAUGAAGAAGGCCUUAGGGUUGUAAAGUACUUUCAGCGAGGAGGCGUUACUCGCAGAAGAAGCACCGGCUAACUCCGUGCCAGCCGCCGCGGUAAUUC
rnacentral:rRNA from 1 species